rnacentral:lncRNA from 1 species
GUAAUUAUAUGGACAUGAAAAGGUGUUCAAGAACUUUGGGGUCCAUUGGGCAAAGAUAAAUGGCACUUGCUUCACAAUCUGCCAUUCAGGAUAGAAUAGGAAAGGAGUUAAUUGAGCAUGAUGAGAAACACGGCCAAUGAAAUAUUUUGCCAUAUUUGAGGAAUAUAUGACCCAAACAAUUUAUGAGAAUUAUUUGGGAAUUUUGGGAGUGAUAGACAUAUAGGUUGCUUCACAACCUAGGGCAAAUUAGGUUAUUCCUUUAAUAGAAAAAAUGAAUAUUCCCAAGGAAAUGAAUAUCGGGGUUGGGAUAGGAUGGGAAUGGCAAGGUAUUGGGAAGGGUUUGAGGAUGACAAGACACUCUGGAAAGAAAGAAGAGGGCAUGUUCUUCAGUUUCCAGACAACAUAGCCACGGAAAAAGGAAACUCAAGCAAAAAUCUCAGAAAAACAAAAGAAAAAGAAAAGGGCCGAAAAUCAGGCUGUGACACUGCGGGCGACGUAGCUCACGGAGCACCUCCACCACCUCCGCAUCAAGACAGUGCCCUGGCGCCAAGGCGCGCGGCCCCUCGGCGCGGCCCACCGCGCCGGGCGCCCGCAACUGAAAAUGUACUUGCUUCACUAACUGAAAAUUUGGACAGAAACAAAGAAUUGAUGCUCAGCUCACAAGGAUGCAUUUCAUGAGCUCAAAUCUUGAGGAGGGUGAUGAUUUGGUGAUAUGAAGUGCCAUGCAAAAUUUCAACUAAAUAGGAUUAACCUAGCUAGUACUUCCUUCACAACUAAUUCCCUCAGACAGGAACUUUGAAAAAUUGCUCAGGAAUAUUCACUAGGCAAAUUAAGUUGAAUUCUGGAAUGAGGUAAUUAUAUGGACAUGAAAAGGUGUUCAUGAAGUUUGGGGUCCAUUGGGCAAAGAUAAAUGGCACUUGCUUCACAAUCUGCCAUUCAUGACAGGAUAGGAAAGGAAUUAAUUGAGCAUGAUGAGAAACAUGGCCUAUGAAAUAUUUUGCCAUAUUUGAGGAAUAUAUGACCCAAAAAAUUUAUGAGAAUUAUUUGGGAAUUUUGGGAGUGAUAGACAUAUAGGUUGCUUCACAACCUAGGGCAAAUUAGGUUAUUCCUUUAAUAGAAAAAAGGAAUAUUCCCAAGGAAAAGAAUAUGGGGGUUGGGAUAGGAUGAGAAUGGCAAGGUAUUGGGAAGGGUUUGAG